ensembl:lncRNA
CAAGAUCAGUCUCAUAGCCAGCUUCCAGUUAAUCUGUAGAUAUCUGUUGACAUGAAGGCUGAGAGUGUGUCCUCUGCUUGGCUUCCAGACCCUUAUUGACUUUUUUGGCUGAGGGAUAAGGACAGCACAGGGUGGAUUUUUGAGACUUGCAGAAGAGGAUGGAAAAUCCGGGCAGUUUGGACCAGCCUUCAUCACAGUGUAAGGAACCACAGUCUUUCCAGCAUUCCCGUCUUACUUUAGCAGUGCCCUGUGUCUGCUGCCCUUUCAGUCUCCCCAACUGGUGGGAUCUAACCCAGACUUCUGAGAAAUCAAACCUGCUGUUGGAACCAAGAGCUAACAGACGGGGUGCUGUGAGUAGGCCUUGUGCCUGGGACACCUGGUACAGUCCCGGCAGGCCCCACAGGAGGUUCUGCUCCCCGCCAGUCACCCUCAGAAGCCCCGUGCAGAAGGUUGGAGGGCAAGUACCACCACUGUCCAGCUAUCCGGGGCCAGUAUCCUGUGUUUUCACAUCCUGAUUUUUCUCAGGGCUCACCAGCUCGUGGUGGAGGAUUGGAAUCACCAAUGACUGUGACGUUCCUGUUUACUGAUAUGUAGGAAAUGUUUCACUUCUCACUUCCUAUUUGGCUUCAAGACCCCUUCAUUGAUUUUGCUCAGUCGAUGAGGAUGUAAGCAGUGGUUUUGCCUGAGCCUGAAACCUCUGUCCCAGUCCAGAUGAAUGGUGAUAAAAGGCAGGUCUGAGCAAGCCCAUGUUGGCCCCCAGCAGCCUGCUUGAUGAUGUGGGAAGUGAGGCUCACGGGAAGAACAGAGAAAGAGCACAUCUAUUUUAGUUCAGGUGGUAAGCCUCCAUCAAGACAAGAGAAACCCCAGGAAAUAAUGAUGCUGAUCAUUAUCAGCUAAGUUUGCUGUUGACCAAUAAUGCCCAUGUGUGGGGUCCUGCAGAAUAUACAAAUCAGACAUUUUCUUCAGGCAAAUACAGUGGGGGAAGGAUUUAAAAAUGUGUUCUUGACAAUAUAAUUCAACUGCUUCCAAAGCUUCCUGCCCACCUACCACCUCUUAACACACAGAGGCAUGUGCACACACACACACGCAUAUGCACACACACACACGCAUAUGCACACGCACGGCCACCUUCUUUUCCCCUUACACAUCCUUGCAGGUCCUUUGACUAAUGCUGCUUCUGUAUCUAGGCCAUG